GACGAACGCUGGCGGCGUGCUUAACACAUGCAAGUCGAACGGUGAAGCGCCUUCCUUUUUGGUGGGUGUGGAUGAGUGGCGAACGGGUGAGUAACACGUGAGUAACCUGCCCCCUCCUGCUGGAUAACCGCAUGAAAGUGUGGCUAAUACGGGAUAUUCUGGGUCUGUCGCAUGAUGGGUCUGGGAAAGAUAUUGUUUCGGUGGGGGAUGGGCUCGCGGCCUAUCAGCUUGUUGGUGGGGUGAUGGCCUACCAAGGCGGUGACGGGUAGCCGGCCUGAGAGGGUCGACCGUCACGCUGGGACUGCGCCACGGCCCCGCCUCCUAGGGGCGGCAGCAGUGGGUCAUACUGCACGGUGGGCGCCCGCCUGAUGCAGCGCCGCCGCGUGGGUGAUGGACGCCUUCGGGUUGUGAUCCUCUUUCGCCAGUGAAGCAGGCCUGCCUCGUUUGUGGGUGGGUUGACGGUAGCUGGUUAAGAAGCGCCGGCUAACUACGUG
rnacentral:rRNA from 1 species